rnacentral:rRNA from 1 species
GUCCACGCCGUAAACGAUGGGCACUAGGCGUCGGGGGGAGCGACCCUCCCGGUGCCGUCGCUAACGCAGUAAGUGCCCCGCCUGGGGAGUACGGCCGCAAGGCUGAAACUCAAAGGAAUUGACGGGGGCCCGCACAAGCGGUGGAGCAUGUGGUUUAAUUCGAAGCAACGCGAAGAACCUUACCUGGGCUUGACAUGCAUGGGAAAGCCGGUGGAAACAUCGGCCCCUCUUCGGAGUCCAUGCACAGGUGCUGCAUGGCUGUCGU